CAUUACCCCCAAACCCUAACCAUUUCCUAUCUGUAGCUGCCUUUGAAUCCCCCUUCUCCCAAACUCUUUCUCAAACCUAGCUGACGCCUUCUUCCACCACCCUAAAAAACACAUGAAUCAAUAGCUUCCAAAGACAUUCCAGGCCUGUAUUUGCCUCUUACGACUUCUACCUGCUUAAUUAACCUGCUUUCAAGACCAUACCCUGAUAAAGUUUGGUCCAUACGUUGGUCUAUUUCAGUGCUAUGUUGUCUCCUGUCAUCUUCGACCUUGCUCUGACCAGCCAUGGCUAUUCAAGCCUGAUUUUGACUUCUCCUGCUAAGAUCAAUGACUUUCCAAGCCUUUCUCACUAUCUAGGGUUCUUCUGAAACCCUAAUCUUCGAUAUUCAUCUGAUUCUUUUAGAUCCAUUGUAUAUCUAUGUUUUCUCUAAGCUUCUAAAUGAUUUCUCGUGGUUUUUUUCAAAACUAUACUUUCAGAACCUUCGUCUUUUCUGAUUUAGGGUUUUUUUGUUACUUUAUUUCGAAGCUUUUCUAAUUUUUAAACAUGUCUACUAUGUUUCUUACGUUGUUCUUCUACGGUGUUUCUUAUGUUGUUCUUCUACUGUGUUGUUCUUCUAUUGUGUUUCUUAUGUUGUUCUUCUUCUGUGUCGCUCUUCUACUGUGGUCCUUUAUGUUGUUCUUCUACUGGAAUACGCAUGUUAAAAGUCUUAGUUCCUUUUUUUGAGAUUUCUGAACUUAUUUUGUUAGUAUUUCUGCCUGAUCUACUUGUUUUCAUCUCUAUACUCGAUUGACGAGGAAAGCUAAAUUUGGGGAUUCAUUCGAGUUGUGAGAAUAUUUGCUAUGUGAUAUGCUUGUUCUUCAUCUUUGAACUUGUUUGGUUUCAAAACCCUAAAUUGUUUGGAGGGAAAGCUCUAAAUUUGGGAAUUCAUUCGAGUUGUGAGACAAUUUGCUAUGUGAUUUGCUUAUUAUUCAUCUUUGAACUUCUUUGAUUUCAAAACCCUAAUUUCUUCGGACCUAUUCAUGUUUCUGAAGAUGUUUCAUCUACUGCUCGAUUGAAUUUCUGAAUAUUUUGUUUCUUUAUAUGACUCCAACUUCCUGCUAAACUCUAUAAGAUCUUUUACUUGACCAUUUGGCAUGCUAUUUGAUACUUUCUCUUCUCUGUUACUGAGUACCUGAAAUCGAACUAUGUGAUUACCUGUGUUUACUACUAUACAAUAUUUUUCUUUGUCCUAAAUUCAGUCUUGCAUGUACAAUACUUGUGUACUCUUUAUAUAUGCUGAACUUCCUCUCUAAAUGACUUUCAAUUUUUUUAAUAAUUUCAGACUUCCUUUAUGUAAGUCUGAUUGAUUUUCUUUCCUGGUUUGUUGAUUCCCUGUUACUUGAUUUGAUUCGAAAACUUUCCUCAACCUUUCUGACUUGGUUUACUCACGAACCAAUAACUGAGAAUAUUGGACUCCUUGAUCUACUGUGUACUAAUUGAUUCUUACCUUAUUUUCUUUUAAUCGUGUAUUUCAAAAUUCUUCCCUUAAUUAAAAUCCCUAUGUAAUUACCCCUAAUUGCCUACUUUGCACAAGAUGUUUAUUUCACUUCUUUCCUUAAAUAGUUUUACCGCUUGAAUAUGAAUUCCUUAAUUAAAGGAAGUCUUGAUUCUUAAUUGAUAUUCAGUUCCAUAAUUAUUUUCUUACCUUGUUUCUGCGUAUUCUUCAUAUUAUAAAUACGCGAAGACUCUUAGUUUUCUAAAGAUCACUCGUGUUUUUUUUGAACUUACACUUACAUUCAAAAAUACUCUUUCUUGCUGCUUGUAAUGUAGCCUAUUUGCAAGUCUUGUUGCCUGCUCUUUUCUCUAUUUUCUUUCCUUAAACCAGUAUGUUCUAAUUAUGAUUCAACAUCAUAACUAUGUGUUUGUUUAACAUCUUUUUCCUCCUCCCUGCCUACUUAUAUGUUUGAUUCAGUAUGUGUUAGUAUUUUCAUUCUAUUUGUUCUACCUCUAUUGUGUAUUUUAAGUUGUUUGACAUUGAUGAUUAUUUGAGGAUGACAACAUUAAAGUAUUGUAUUCUAUGACUCAAACUUGGUCCCCUGGGAUCAUAACCUCAUGUUAUCAUUGUGUGAUAUAUAUUCUAGUUGGUUUUGUGAGCAUAACAGCAUCCCCCUAUUGAUGUGCAGGCCCAUAAUCAAUUAAUUCCCAAGCAUAAGGGUUCUCUAAAAUCAGUCCCAACCCCUAAAUCCCUCUUUGUGUGAAGCUGUUAAUUCUGUAAUUAGUUCCCUCUCCCUUUUCCCUUCUAGCACUCCAUUCUGCACUUGCACACUUUCUUAUUCUUUAAGUUCUGCUCCCCUUUUGUGAGCCUUGCCUUAGGACCCUCUGAGUUCCCUCUGAACUUAGACACUUGAGGGAUGGCCCUUCCACACUAUAAUUGUCCCAAUCUAAUAAUACAUUUGAGUGAGAGUAUUGCCCGGAGUCUUUUUGAGACUCUUAGGGAACUUUGACAUAUCCAAAUGGGAGAAAGGCUUUGGAUCAUGAUCUUUGGAGUUGAUUUACCUCAUAUUUCAGAAAUGAACUCAGAAUCAUGCUCUCCUUGGUUGUACUUUUUAAUUUUUGAUGUAUUCUUUUAUAUUCUGGGUUGUAAUAAUUUUGUAAUAAACUCUUGGGGAUGGCUUAUGAAAAGGAUGGGUAACUAUAUAUGCAAAGGGUG
rnacentral:lncRNA from 1 species